CGGGGAGUGGCGCAGAGGAAGCGCGCCUGCUUUGGGAGCAGGAGGUCGCGGGUUCGAUCCCCGCCUCCCCGACCA
rnacentral:tRNA from 1 species